GUGCUUGCUUCGGCAGCACAUAUACUAAAAUUGGAAUGAUAUAGAGAAGAUAAGCAUGGCCCCUAUGCAAGGAUGACACAUAAAUUUGUGAAGCAUUCCAUAUUUUU